rnacentral:rRNA from 1 species
AUUGAACGCUUGCGGCAGGCCUAACACAUGCGAGUCGGACGGUAGCACAGAGGAGCUUGCUCCUCGGGUGACGAGUGGCGGACGGGUGAGUAAUGUCUGGGGAUCUGCCCGAUAGAGGGGGAUAACCACUGGAAACGGUGGCUAAUACCGCAUAACGUCGCAAGACCAAAGAGGGGGACCUUCGGGCCGCGCACUAUCGGAUGAACCCAGAUGGGAUUAGCUAGGAGGCGGGGUAACGGCCCACCUAGGGGACGAUCCCUAGCUGGUCUGGGAGGAUGACCAGCCACACUGGAACUGAGACACGGUCCAGACUCCUACGUGAGGCAGCAGUGGGGAAUAUUGCACAAUGGGCGCAAGCCUGAUGCAGCCAUGCCGCGUGUAUGAAGAAGGCCUUCGGGUUGUAAAGUACUUUCAGCGGGGAGGAAGGCGAUGUGGUUAAUAACCGCAUUGAUUGACGUUACCCGCAGAAGAAGCACCGGCUAACUCCGUGCCAGCCGCCGCGGUAA